GUUUUCUUCGUCAUUAGAGGAGUAAUUUAUGAGGUACGUUUUCCUGCGACUUUUUAUGUUCAUGAACUUGAUAGGUAGGUAGGUAGGUAGGUAUAUGUAUAGAUGACUUCAUCUUCAUCACUUUAAAAAUGACAUACAAAAUGCACUUGAGUAUUAAGUUGUAGUUGUAUACGGAACUAAAUAAUAUGAUGAAAAUAAUUUUAUUUCUAUUCUGUUUACAUUGGUGGUGUUGUUAUUGCAUUUGGAUCCCGUUCUGGAGUUCUCAAACGAACAAAUUUGAUAAUGAAGCUGAGCAAAAAUUUGUCGAAGAAAUGAAUUCGAAAAUUCAAACUGUUCGAGAUUUGGAAGAGCAGCUUCAAGAAAGGAAUAAAAGCUUGAAACUGUCGAAUUUCCUAAAUCUUAGUACUUUGCUUCAAUUUUGGAACUAUUUUUCAAAAGUUAGGCUAAUUUUAUGGAUACUUUGGGCUGUUGUGAAACGUGACAACGCCAUGUUUAAAUGGAAACAAGCUAAAAGAUCAUUGGAAACAGAACGAUUCGCUUACGAAAGAAUACGACCCAUAGAGAUCAUCUGCGAGGAAGUUUUCAAGCACGAUUUCUUCAGAAAAAAAGAAUGGAACUACGUUGAAAAUACCGCCAAGUCGGCAUUUACCGAGAUCAAUGUAACAACGCCUCAAGGACCAUUUCUUAGGCCUGUUAAAAGUUGCUCUGCUUCGAGUCAUUCUAAGACAUUUUCCGUGUACGUUUCUGCAGCUGAAGACUUUAAUUGGAAGAGCAAUUUUGUUUUCUAUGUUUUUAUUCAAAAUGGCGAACUUUACAAAGUAAUCGCGUACCUUGUCAAACAUUAAUAUUGCUGACGAUUUCAAUAUCGUUGGCGUCUUUCGUAAAAAAUUGUUUUAUUUACCUAGACCUACGUAUAGGCGCGUCUUACGUGUACCUACUGAACAAAUACACGAACAUCUGUACGUCUACCUAUAUUUCUAAUAAAACUAGUGAACUGACAUUUGAAAAAAAUCCAACAUUCAAAGAAAUCUUCUUUCGAUUGAAGCUGAUUUUUUAAAAUGUUGAAAUGCAUAAUUUUCGUAUCUGCGAUUUAUAUGUUUGGAACACUCAGUUAUUAUUCAACAGUGCAAUGUUCUAUUUUCAAUUUCAAGAAGGAGGAUAAGUACGAGCUAGGUAAAACAGCAGAGGACCUUUUCGUCAAAGAGAUAGCCGGGAGGUUGCAACACAUCGCAAAAUUAGAGAAAAACGUAGCUGAAGCUAAAGCAAAUCUGAGUUUCUGGACAACUGCUAAAAAAAUUGCUCCUGGAACUGGUGUUGUUAGCUUUGUUAAAAAAUGGACUCAAGUUCUCUGGGAUAUGAUCAAUAUUUCAAGAAGAGAUUUUGGCCAACUUCAAUUGAAAAUAGCUAAGCAUCAAUAUAAACAAGAGAAGUUACUGACUAUCUGGAAAUCGGGCACAACAACAUGUGAAGAGGCAUUCGAAAACGACUACUUCAAAACAUAUAGAAAAUGGAUACUACUAAAAAAGCACUCUUACACAAAGAAAAAAAAAAAAAUAUGGAUCAAAGUACAAUCACUUUAUCAAAAUGAGAGGCAAAAG